rnacentral:rRNA from 1 species
UACGGAGGAUCCAAGCGUUAUCCGGAAUUACUGGGCGUAAAGAGUUGCUUAGGUGGCAGAGUAAGUAGAUAGUGAAAGCGUGUGGCUCAACCAUACAUCCAUUAUCUAAACUGCUCAGCUUGAGGAUGAGAGAGGUUAUUGGAAUUCCCAGUGUAGGAGUGAAAUCCGUAGAUAUUGGGAGGAACACCGAUGGCGUAGGCAGAUAACUGGCUCAUUUCUGACACUAAGGCACGAAAGCGUGGGGAGCAAACGGG